rnacentral:rRNA from 1 species
CAGUCGCCGCGGGAAUACGAAGGGUGCAAGCGUUAAUCGGAAUUACUGGGCGUAAAGCGUGCGUAGGCGGUGAGUUAAGUCUGCUGUGAAAUCCCCGGGCUCAACCUGGGAAUGGCAGUGGAUACUGGCUCGCUAGAGUGUGUCAGAGGAUGGUGGAAUUCCCGGUGUAGCGGUGAAAUGCGUAGAGAUCGGGAGGAACAUCAGUGGCGAAGGCGGCCAUCUGGGACAACACUGACGCUGAGGCACGAAAGCGUGGGGAGCAAACAGGAUUAGAUACCCCCGUAGUCCCUGUCUCUUAUAU